rnacentral:rRNA from 1 species
AGUGAACGCUGGCGGUAGGCCUAACACAUGCAAGUCGAACGGCAGCACAGUAAGAGCUUGCUCUUACGGGUGGCGAGUGGCGGACGGGUGAGGAAUACAUCGGAAUCUACUUUUUCGUGGGGGAUAACGUAGGGAAACUUACGCUAAUACCGCAUACGACCUACGGGUGAAAGCAGGGGAUCUUCGGACCUUGCGCGAUUGAAUGAGCCGAUGUCGGAUUAGCUAGUUGGCGGGGUAAAGGCCCACCAAGGCGACGAUCCGUAGCUGGUCUGAGAGGAUGAUUAGCCACACUGGAACUAAGACACGGUCCAGACUCCUACGGGAGGCAGCAGUGGGGAAUAUUGGACAAUGGGCGCAAGCCUGAUCCAGCCAUACCGCGUGGGUGAAGAAGGCCUUCGGGUUGUAAAGCCCUUUUGUUGGGAAAGAAAAGCAGCAGGUUAAUACCCCGCUGUUCUGACGGUACCCAAAGAAUAAGCACCGGCUAACUUCGUG